UUAAUUCGAAGCAACGCGAAGAACCUUACCUAAGCUUGACAUCCCAAUGACAUCUCCUUAAUCGGAGAGUUCCCUUCGGGGACAUUGGUGACAGGUGGUGCAUGGUUGUCGUCAGCUCGUGUCGUGAGAUGUUGGGUUAAGUCCCGCAACGAGCGCAACCCUUGUCUUUAGUUGCCAUCAUUAAGUUGGGCACUCUAGAGAGACUGCCAGGGAUAACCUGGAGGAAGGUGGGGAUGACGUCAAAUCAUCAUGCCCCUUAUGCUUAGGGCUACACACGUGCUACAAUGGGUAGUACAGAGGGUUGCCAAGCCGUAAGGUGGAGCUAAUCCCUUAAAGCUACUCUCAGUUCGGAUUGUAGGCUGAAACUCGCCUACAUGAAGCUGGAGUUACUAGUAAUCGCAGAUCAGAAUGCUGCGGUGAAUGCGUUCCCGGGUCUUGUACACACCGCCCGUCACACCACGGGAGUUGGAGACGCCCGAAGCCGAUUAUCUAACC
rnacentral:rRNA from 1 species